UUUUCACAAAUUAUUUAACAAUGAGACGAUAAAUAAUUUUAUAUUAAUAACAAGAAAUAAGACAUUACAAUUGAAUUCGAAGGUGACGUAAUCAUCUGCCAAUUUAUUCCAGGCUGCUUGCCGAUAUGGCAACAACAAUAAAAUCGAAGCUUACUUUUUUCAGUUGUUCUGAAUGCAAUAACUGCAUUUCGUAGAAUUUAAUUUCCGUUGACACAUAUACAAAAGAGGAGGAACGCUUUAUAAAUGUACAUUAUAAAUUAUAAUACAUAUAUGUAUGCCCAUACAAUCGUUCUUGAUGUACAUAUAAUUUAAAUAUUAUUGUAUUCUAUACUGUGUCUCUUAUGCAAAACGGCUAGGUAUAUUUUUACAACAUGGAAGCUUCAAGAUUAAUAUAAGCUCAUAAAUGGCAAAAUGAAAGAACAUGCAGAUCCAUAUCUUUUGUGGGUAGCGUGUUUCUUGUGGACGUAAUUAAAUUUUGGAAUCUACCAGAUGUGAAAGAGGUUUCUAGAACACAUUGCUCGAAAUAGUGUCAUCUGCACGACGCUAGCUACGAAUAUUCAAUUAACACAUAUACACAACUACAAUGGCAUAUAAAAGUCUAUCCGAAAUAUGAAAGCCGUUCAAGAGGCGUUAUUUGAAGCAACAACUUCCUGCAUCGGUUCUACUAUCUUUCCCUUGGUAUCUCUGUACGGAGACAAUGAUCGUUGUUCUCGCAAGAACUUAUCAGGGUGUAACGCUUCCUAAUUCCCUAUCAGUUUAAAGAACGCCCUAAACGCUCAAUAUGGAACGCGCAAUAUUCUGAGUUGCGCAAUAAUAUUGACAGUAGUAGAGAACUAAUAUCGAAGACGUAUACGUAGGUCCGCUUAAAUGGACUUGGUCUACGUAUUACGCCGCGGUUCGAACUGUUUACUACAUAUAUUCGAUAAAGAAUUGCUUGAUGUAGAUAAAACUUAUUAAAUUACAUUGUCGAGCUUUCGA